rnacentral:rRNA from 1 species
AUGCAAGUCGAACGGGUAUAGCAAUAUAUCAGUGGCAAACGGGUGAGGAAUAUAUAGGAAUCUACCUAGCAGUAAGGAAUAACUUUGGGAAACCAAAGCUAAUGCCAUAUAUUACCGAUUUAUCGGGAAAGAUUUAUCGCUGUUAGAUGAGCCUGUAUCGGAUUAGCUAGUUGGUAGGGUAAUGGCCUACCAAGGCAAUGAUCCGUAGCUGGUCUGAGAGGAUGAUCAGCCACAUUGGGACUGCGACACGGCCCAAACUCC